ACGAACGCUGGCGGCGUGCCUAAUACAUGCAAGUCGUACGCUUCUUUUUCCACCGGAGCUUGCUCCACCGGAAAAAGAAGAGUGGCGAACGGGUGAGUAACACGUGGGUAACCUGCCCAUCAGAAGGGGAUAACACUUGGAAACAGGUGCUAAUACCGUAUAACAAUCGAAACCGCAUGGUUUUGAUUUGAAAGGCGCUUUCGGGUGUCGCUGAUGGAUGGACCCGCGGUGCAUUAGCUAGUUGGUGAGGUAACGGCUCACCAAGGCCACGAUGCAUAGCCGACCUGAGAGGGUGAUCGGCCACAUUGGGACUGAGACACGGCCCAAACUCCUACGGGAGGCAGCAGUAGGGAAUCUUCGGCAAUGGACGAAAGUCUGACCGAGCAACGCCGCGUGAGUGAAGAAGGUUUUCGGAUCGUAAAACUCUGUUGUUAGAGAAGAACAAGGAUGAGAGUAACUGUUCAUCCCUUGACGGUAUCUAACCAGAAAGCCACGGCUAACUACGUGCCAGCAGCCGCGGUAAUACGUAGGUGGCAAGCGUUGUCCGGAUUUAUUGGGCGUAAAGCGAGCGCAGGCGGUUUCUUAAGUCUGAUGUGAAAGCCCCCGGCUCAACCGGGGAGGGUCAUUGGAAACUGGGAGACUUGAGUGCAGAAGAGGAGAGUGGAAUUCCAUGUGUAGCGGUGAAAUGCGUAGAUAUAUGGAGGAACACCAGUGGCGAAGGCGGCUCUCUGGUCUGUAACUGACGCUGAGGCUCGAAAGCGUGGGGAGCAAACAGGAUUAGAUACCCUGGUAGUCCACGCCGUAAACGAUGAGUGCUAAGUGUUGGAGGGUUUCCGCCCUUCAGUGCUGCAGCUAACGCAUAAGCACUCCGC
rnacentral:rRNA from 1 species